rnacentral:rRNA from 1 species
CCCUUAGAUGUCCGGGGCCGCACGCGCGCUACACUGAAGGAAUCAGCGUGGCUUUCUCCCUGACCCGAAAGGGUUGGGAAACCCGUUGAAUCUCCUUCGUGAUAGGGAUUGGGGCUUGAAAUUGUUCCCCAUGAACGAGGAAUUCCCAGUAAGCGCGAGUCAUAAGCUCGCGUUGAUUACGUCCCUGCCCUUUGUACACACCGCCCGUCGCUACUACCGAUUGAACGGUUUAGUAAGGGCCUCGGAUUGGUCUCGGCCCGCUCUUUACCGGGCGGCGCCGUUGGUCGAGAAGACGCUCGAACUUGAUCGUUUAGAGGAAGUAAAAGUCGUAACA